rnacentral:snRNA from 1 species
GCAGAGUGCAGCGAACAUUGCU